rnacentral:rRNA from 1 species
GUGGGGAAUAUUGGACAAUGGGCGAAAGCCUGAUCCAGCCAUGCCGCGUGUGUGAAGAAGGUCUUCGGAUUGUAAAGCACUUUAAGUUGGGAGGAAGGGCAGUAAGUUAAUACCUUGCUGUUUUGACGUUACCGACAGAAUAAGCACCGGCUAACUUCGUGCCAGCAGCCGCGGUAAUACGAAGGGUGCAAGCGUUAAUCGGAAUUACUGGGCGUAAAGCGCGCGUAGGUGGUUUUGUAAGUUGGAGGUGAAAUCCCCGGGCUCAACCUGGGAACUGCUUUCAAAACUGCUGAGCUAGAGUACGGUAGAGGGUGGUGGAAUUUCCUGUGUAGCGGUGAAAUGCGUAGAUAUAGGAAGGAACACCAGUGGCGAAGGCGACCACCUGGACUGAUACUGACACUGAGGUGCGAAAGCGUGGGGAGCAAACAGGAUUAGAUACCCCAGUAGUCC